rnacentral:rRNA from 1 species
UACAGAGGGGGGCAAGCGUUAUUCGGAAUUAUUGGGCGUAAAGGCGCGUAGGCGGCCCAUUCAAGUGACGGGUGAAAGCCCCUCGGCUUUAACCGAGGAACUGCCUGUCAGACUGGAUGGCUUGAGACCGGGAGAGGUGAGUGGAAUUCCCAGUGUAGCGGUGAAAUGCGUAGAUAUUGGGGAGGAACACCAGUGGCGAAGGCGGCUCACUGGCCGGAACUGACG